UACGUAGGGUGCAAGCGUUGUCCGGAAUUAUUGGGCGUAAGGGCUCGUAGGCGGUCUGUCGCGUCGGGAGUGAAAACUCAGGGCUUAACCCUGAGCCUGCUUCCCGAUACGGGCAGACUAGAGGUAUGCAGGGGAGAACGGAAUUCCUGGUGUAGCGGUGGAAUGCGCAGAUAUCAGGAGGAACACCGAUGGCGAAGGCGGUGGUCUGGGCCGGAACUGACGCUGAGGAGCGAAAGCGUGGGGAGCGAACAGG
rnacentral:rRNA from 1 species